rnacentral:tRNA from 1 species
UGUUCGGUGGCUUUGUUGGUAAAAGCUCCAGACUAGCGACACGAAGUCGUGGAUUCGAAUCCCACCAAAACAA